rnacentral:lncRNA from 1 species
GUUAGACUUUGAGACUUGUAGGAAAACACUCCAAACAAAGGCCUUAAGACAAAUCUACCAGUUGAGGUAGGAAAUCCACUGAGAUAUUUAGUAGACAGAACUUGAUAAUUUCUUUCCUUUCAUAUUUUCAUUUUAGAUCUUCAGAACUUUUAUUCAGGGGAGAAAGGCCCAGGUAGCUGCUGCUGUUCAGCUUAAGGCUAAUCUGACCUUCUAUAACAGGAGUUCAAGUCCCAGAAAUCCCUAGUCCUCCAUCAGAGGUAAGUAAGGAUGGCAGCUGAACCCAAGAAAAGGAGCAUGAAUGAUUAACUCUUCCUUCAUUUCACCUCAGAAAAUGGGGGCUGGGCGCAGUGGCUCACACCUGUAAUCCCAGCACUUUGGGAGGCUGAGGCAGAUGGAUCACUGAGGUCAGGAGUUUGAGACCAGCUUGGCCAAUGUGGUGAAAUCCCAUCUCUGCUAAAAAUACAAAAAUUAGCCAGGCGUGGUGGCGUGUGCCUGUAAUCCCAGCUACACCAGAGGCUGAGGCAGGAGAAUUGCUUGAACCCAGGAGGUGGAGGUUGCAGUGAGCUGAGAUCACGCCAUUGCACUC